rnacentral:misc_RNA from 1 species
UUUCCGUAGGUGAACCUGCGGAAGGAUCAUUAAAGAGAAUAUGCCCUUCGGGGUAGAUCUCCCACCCUUUGUUUAUAUUACCUUUGUUGCUUUGGCAGGCCCGUCUUCGGACCACCGGCUUCGGCUGGUCAGUGCUUGCCAGAGGACCCAAAACUCUUAGUAUUAAUGUCGUCUGAGUACUAUAUAAUAGUUAAAACUUUCAACAACGGAUCUCUUGGUUCUG